rnacentral:rRNA from 1 species
AGUGAACGCUGGCGGUAGGCCUAACACAUGCAAGUCGAACGGCAGCACAGUAAGAGCUUGCUCUUACGGGUGGCGAGUGGCGGACGGGUGAGGAAUACAUCGGAAUCUACUUUUUCGUGGGGGAUAACGUAGGGAAACUUACGCUAAUACCGCAUACGACCUACGGGUGAAAGCAGGGGAUCUUCGGACCUUGCGCGAUUGAAUGAGCCGAUGUCGGAUUAGCUAGUUGGCGGGGUAAAGGCCCACCAAGGCGACGAUCCGUAGCUGGUCUGAGAGGAUGAGCGGCCACACUGGAACUGAGACACGGUCCAGACUCCUACGGGAGGCAGCAGUGGGGAAUAUUGGACAAUGGGCGCGAGCCUGAUCCAGCCAUACCGCGUGGGUGAAGAAGGCCUUCGGGUUGUAAAGCCCUUUUGUUGGGAAAGAAAAGCAGCAGGUUAAUACCCCGCUGUUCUGACGGUACCCAAAGAAUAAGCACCGGCUAACUUCGUG